UCCAGUCGUGGUUAUUAGCCUAGGUGUGACCCAAACUCCACAUGCUGCAAGUAGUCUCCAGCCACAGGAAGUCAAGACACAGGAAGUGCAAAGCCAGGUCCUACACUUACCUUCCUGGUGUCUUUAGCAAGGACUGCUGUAUCUCUGUGCUCAUUUCUCCUGAACUGGUUGACCCCUACGUCCCUAAAUGAUGUUUGGAGCAGAGGCAGGCUUUCACUAUGGAGUCUUGGCUAGCCUGGAACACACAGAGAUGUAUCUUCCCCUGCUGGGAUUAAAGGCCUAGCUCACACUAGCCAGAAUUUUACAGAAGAAGAAGGAGGAGGAGGAGGAGGAGGAGGAGGAGAAGGAGGAGAAGGAGAGGAGAAAGAAGAAGAAGAAGAAGAAGAAGAAGAAGAAGAAGAAGAAGAAGAAGAAGAAGAAGGAAGAAGAAGAAAGAAGAAGAAAAGAAGAAGAAAAGAAGAAGAAGAAAACGGAAAUUUUUAUUUGGACAAAAACUUAGGCCUUGGCAGCAUGGGGGCUCAAGCCUGGAUUCCCAAUUCUCUGAAGGCUGAUGCAGGAGGAUUAAUGUGAGUUUGAUGCCUGCGUGGUAUAGUAUGAGA
rnacentral:lncRNA from 1 species